rnacentral:piRNA from 1 species
ACUGGCAUGCUGGGACCUCAGUGACAGA